AUCAGAUAUUUUUUCCACUGGAAGGAAACUGAGAAAAAAAGGUGUAUCAUAAGAAAUGUAAAUAUGCAUAUAUGGGAGGGGAGAGAGUGAGAAAAAUUCUUUGGUUCAAUCUUUUAUUUAAAAUGACCCCAUUAAAAUCUCCAGUUUAAAUUAAACUGAGUAGUCCCACCAGAAAGAAAAAUGAAAUGUCUGUUAAGAGAAUUUUUCUUAUGAAAAUUUCAUGGUUUUAUGUGUGUGAUUUUUUUCAGAGGUUUUUUUUUCAGAGAUUUUUUUCAGGAGCUCAGAUUCAAAAUGGGGAAUCCUGUGUGUGAACAAGGAGUUGUUCUCCAUACCUCCCCAGUCACAGUGACAAGCCAGAGACAUCACUAGUUUUCUGGACAGAGGUUUCAAUUUUGGAGGAGAUUAGAUAUACUCUUGGGGCAUCUUCUGUUCUCAUAUAACAGACAUAAAGUGAGGCUUCAGCUCUGAUGCCUGGUUCCUCUGAGAGAAUAGCAGGUGUUACUAACAACUAGGAUCCAAGAAUACCAAGAGGAGCAGCCAGGCAGCAAGUCUGACAGAGCUCCCAGUCUGCCAGAAGCUCUCCAAGGCAGGGACUGCAGUCCUCAAACUGCUCUGCCCAGUACAAUGUCUGAACACCUCCCAGUCCUUUGGAAUGCUUUGCCAUUUCUGUCAGCUUUACUGGUGCUUCUCUAUCCCAAUUCCCUUCUCUCCCAUGUGUGGGCAGUUACUGACCCCCCUGCUAGCUGUGGUGGUCAGUCAAACAAAAGUGGUCUGGGUGCCAUGGGUAUUCAGAAGAGUUGUCAUUGUUACCAAGACACAAACUCUGGUUGAAGGAGCUAUAAAGGACCCUCCAGCUGUGUAACAAAGAUCUGAUUUUAUCUCUAAUUGAUGACACAAAGACAGAGAUAAUAUAUGAGAAGUUCAGAUGAGAAGAGCAAAUAUUGAUAUUCAGGUAAGUGAUGCAAAAGUUGA
ensembl:lncRNA